rnacentral:rRNA from 1 species
UACGAAGGGGGCUAGCGUUGCUCGGAAUCACUGGGCGUAAAGGGUGCGUAGGCGGGUCUUUUAAGUCAGGGGUGAAAUCCUGGAGCUCAACUCCAGAACUGCCUUUGAUACUGAAGAUCUUGAGUUCGGGAGAGGUGAGUGGAACUGCGAGUGUAGAGGUGAAAUUCGUAGAUAUUCGCAAGAACACCAGUGGCGAAGGUGGCUCACUGGCCCGAUACUGACGCUGAUGCACGAAAGCGUGGGGAGCAAACAGG